UGCGUAAAGGUGCUUACCCUCUAGUCUGACAACCUAGGAACCUGAAUUCAAUACCCAGAACCUACAUGGUAGAAAGAGAAAAGCAACUUUUGAAAAUGUUGUGUUCUGACCUUUUAAUGGAGAGGUUUCUAUGUUCUUGUGUACAUAUGUUGGAUUUAGUUUUUCCCCAUUUGGUCCUCUAGAGAGAAGCUAAGAGACCAACAGUUCAAACGAUUGAAAUACUAUUAUGCAGUAGUGGAAUGUGAUUCUCCAGAAAUAGCAAGUAAGAUUUAUGAAGAUUAUGAUGGCCUGGAAUAUGAAAGCAGUUGUUCUUUCAUAGACCUAAGGUUUAUACCAGAUGAUAUUACUUUUGAUGAUGAGCCUAAGGAUGUGGCCUCAGAAGUUGAUCUAACAGCAUAUAAACCAAAGUAUUUCACAUCUGCUGCAAUGGGAACAUCAACAGUGGAGAUUGCUUGGGAUGAGACAGAUCAUGAAAGAAUCACAACACUUAACAGAAAGUUUAAAAAGGAGGAGCUUUGGGACAUGGACUUCCAGGCCUACUUAGCUUCCUCCAGUGAGGAUGAGGAGGAAGAGGAAGAAGCACCACAAGUACCAUCUGCCAGCAUGACCCGGCUUGCCCGAUCACGAACAUACUCAGCCCCCAGUAACAUCGGAUCUGAAAAAUUUUAUUUCACCCAACCUGUGACCAGCAGUCAGUCAGAUGGAGCUCAAGAAGUCUGUGGGGCCUCUAAUCUCCUGAGCACACUCCAGACCAUGGAGGUGCCCUGCUAAGCAGAUGGGUCCUCCCUGGACCAUGCAAGUCCCUCCUCCUUCAGAUGACCGCUCCAUAAUAGAACAUUUCAUUCUGUCAGCUGGCCUCCACUUUCACUCACUCACUCAUGGCCACAGCACCUCUUUCCAGUAGCCUGGAUUUCCUAUUCUCUCCACACACCCCUUUUUGUCUGUACCAAGAACCACACCCAUGCCAUUACUGUAACAUUCCAACAUCUUGAUCCGAUCUGAUCCCCAUAUCUUCUCUUGCCAGCCUUUCCCUAUGCUCCCUCAAAUAUGCAUCUGAUGAGAUUCUUUGAUUCCCAACUCCAUGUGUGUGUGAGCACGCGUGUCUGUGUCUGUGUGUGCAUAGUUCUGUGAUUUUAGACGUGCUUUCUUGUAGUGCUUCUGCAAAGGGACUUUUUUUGCAUUCUCAGUGGCUUUUUAAAGGGAAAUAUGCAGAGCAGAUAUCUGGAUGGCUUGGACCACAAGAUUGGAUUUUGGUUCCACUUGGACAAUAUUUGCAGUGAUUUCAGGAGACAGCAGGUCUGAGAGAUGUGAGGACUGUAGUUACUGUGUGGACCAUUGAUUAGCUGUGACCAGUAGAGGGGUCUGUAGACAGAUUCCACAGAGCCAUUGCGUCUGGCUUGCAUUCCCGAGUGACAGCACCCAGGCUUUGAACACCUUUUGUUUAAAGUCAGUGAUUGCAACAGAGCCAACCUUGGCACAGGUAGGUGAGCCAGCCCCAAAGAUGUAAGCAUGGGAGACUUG